UACGAACUGUGCAAACGUUAUUCGGAAUCACUGGGCUUAAAGGGUGCGUAGGCGGCUUAUCAAGUAGGGUGUGAAAGCCCCCGGCUUAACCGGGGAAUUGCGCCUUAAACUGUUGAGCUGGAGUGGGACAGGGGUGUGUGGAACUUCCGGUGGAGCGGUGAAAUGUGUUGAUAUCGGAAGGAACGCCGGUGGCGAAAGCGACACACUGGGUCUCAACUGACGCUGAGGCACGAAAGCCAGGGGAGCGAACGGG
rnacentral:rRNA from 1 species